rnacentral:lncRNA from 1 species
AGAAGAAAUUACAGACAACAAUAAUGCUCAGUGCAGUAACCAGACCUGAAAAAAGACACUGCUCAAGGCAAACUUUUGGGACAUAGUGCUGCAUACAUGGGCUUAUGCACAAACUGAGAUUUUGCAAGUCAACUGUCAAAGUCAUAAAGAGAGAUUGUGGACAAUUGUUGAACAGAGUUGAAGUCCUGGAAUCUCGGUCAACUGCAGAUAGCAGCAUGGCGUAAAGCAGACGUCUUGUUUCCUAGUCCAAUUUUAGUCAGGUAUGAAACUGCAGUCAACACAGGUUUUAGAGGUCUGCAAGUACAGAGUUUUAAAUUGUGAAACAAAACCUCUAACCAGAUCACAGAGUGUGUGUGUGUGUUAUGCUGUGCUGAGAUAUUGCUGUGACAUAUGGUGGAUUAAGGUCCACAACCUGAUAUGCAUAACUUGUAUUUGUAACCUUUAAUUAAUUACAUACCAAUGUACAUUUGAGUUUACACACUUCCUGAAGUAUAUGUAUUUUAGCUGUAAUAUGCCACUACACACACAUGUAUAUGUUUGAGCCUGAGAUGAACUGUACGGUAUUUUGUGUAACAACUUUGUGUCUUACAUGAUUGUAAGUACUUAUAGUAAGUAUUGUUCAUAUGUAUUUUCAGGAUGCGUUAUACUAAAUACUAUGGAGAUACUAAUAUUAAAAUAGUAAAACUACAAUUGGUUAAUUGCUUGUUGACCUUAACAAAGGAAUGAAAAGAACCCAUCCCCAUAAACACAGUUAGUUUUUACAGCCAAUCGUUAUGGCAUCCUAUAGAAACUAACAGAGUGGCAUAUACAUAUUAUAUAUUACUGUAGGUUGAAAUUAUUGUUUUGCCCAUACCAAAGUUUUAGAUAUGAGUAGAUCAUCAGUUUUUUUUUCUUCAUAUUUUUUUUUCACAAUACAGUGUUUAAACUAGAAUUGCAGACAGAGCAAAUUGUAAACAAUUCUUACAUUUAACUAAACUUCUUUCAGAAAAUUGCACUAAAGUAACA